rnacentral:rRNA from 1 species
UACAGAGGGUGCAAGCGUUGUCCGGAAUCACUGGGCGUAAAGGGCGCGUAGGCGGCCUGAUAAGUCGGGGGUGAAACGCUGCGGCUCAACCGCAGCACUGCCUUCGAGACUGUUGGGCUUGAGCACGGUAGAGGCUGGUGGAAUUCCCGGUGUAGCGGUGGAAUGCGUAGAGAUCGGGAAGAACAUCGGUGGCGAAGGCGGCCAGCUGGGCCGUUGCUGACGCUGAGGCGCGACAGCGUGGGGAGCAAACAGGAUUAGAAACCCCUGUAGUCC